rnacentral:rRNA from 1 species
UCGCACCUACUGAUUAGGCAUCAUCAUGAGUUGGACGGAGAUAGCAUGAUAAAAGUUUCUUUUAUCUUGUUGAAGAAGUUCUGCGAAUGGUGCUGCCCAGAAGAAGGUA